CCGGACUAUUAGACAUGCCAAACUGGACGAGUUAAUUCAGCCCUUAAUUGCUCCCGCGAGAUUAGGAAAGAUGGUUACAUCAAAUUCUAUCUAUUUGGGAUAGACAGGUAUUGUGCACGUUGAAGAGAUAAGUCGACUGAACAGCUCAUACACAGAUUAGACCUCGGGGAUGCCUUAGUUCAGCAAGGAGAUGGACUCCUCAGCUCAUAUAGCAGUCAUCCAUCUUAUUGAUGAUCCGAGAACUU
rnacentral:lncRNA from 1 species